GGUCAAGCGAACAAGUGCAUGUGGUGGAUGCCUUGGCGAUCACAGGCGAUGAAGGACGCGGUAGCCUGCGAAAAGCCCCGGGGAGCUGGCAAACAAGCUUUGAUCCGGGGAUGUCCGAAUGGGGAAACCCACUCCGUAUGGAGUAUCCAUGACUGAAUACAUAGGUCAUGUGAAGCGAACGCGGUGAACUGAAACAUCUAAGUAACCGCAGGAAAAGAAAUCAACCGAGAUUCCCAAAGUAGUGGCGAGCGAAAUGGGAUGAGCCUUGUACUCUUUAUUCGUAUUGUUAGCCGAACGCUCUGGAAAGUGCGGCCAUAGCAGGUGAUAGCCCUGUAGGCGAAAACAGUAUGAAAGAACUAGGUGUACGACAAGUAGGGCGGGACACGUGAAAUCCUGUCUGAAGAUGGGGGGACCAUCCUCCAAGGCUAAAUACUCGUGAUCGACCGAUAGUGAACCAGUACCGUGAGGGAAAGGCGAAAAGAACCCCGGGAGGGGAGUGAAAUAGAUCCUGAAACCGCAUGCAUACAAACAGUCGGAGCCUCGUAAGGGGUGACGGCGUACCUUUUGUAUAAUGGGUCAGCGACUUACGUUCAGUAGCAAGCUUAACCGUAUAGGGCAGGCGUAGCGAAAGCGAGUCCGAAUAGGGCGUUCAGUUGCUGGGCGUAGACCCGAAACCAGGUGAUCUAUCCAUGGCCAGGAUGAAGGUGCGGUAACACGUACUGGAGGUCCGAACCCACUAACGUUGAAAAGUUAGGGGAUGAGCUGUGGAUAGGGGUGAAAGGCUAAACAAACCUGGAAAUAGCUGGUUCUCUCCGAAAACUAUUUAGGUAGUGCCUCGUGUCUCACCUUCGGGGGUAGAGCACUGUCAUGGUUGGGGGGUCUAUUGCAGAUUACCCCGCCAUAGCAAACUCCGAAUACCGAAGAGUGCAAUCACGGGAGACAGACAUCGGGUGCUAACGUCCGGUGUCAAGAGGGAAACAACCCAGACCGCCAGCUAAGGUCCCCAAAUAUGGCUAAGUGGGAAACGAAGUGGGAAGGCUAAAACAGUCAGGAGGUUGGCUUAGAAGCAGCCACCCUUUAAAGAAAGCGUAAUAGCUCACUGAUCGAGUCGUCCUGCGCGGAAGAUGUAACGGGGCUAAGCCAUAUACCGAAGCUGCGGAUGCGAGCUUGCUCGCAUGGUAGGAGAGCGUUCCGUAAGCCUGCGAAGGUGUCUUGUAAAGGAUGCUGGAGGUAUCGGAAGUGCGAAUGCUGACAUGAGUAGCGAUAAAGGGGGUGAAAGGCCCCCUCGCCGUAAGCCCAAGGUUUCCUACGCAACGUUCAUCGGCGUAGGGUGAGUCGGCCCCUAAGGCGAGGCAGAAAUGCGUAGCUGAUGGGAAGCAGGUCAAUAUUCCUGCACCGUCGUUAGAUGCGAUGGGGGGACGGAUCGCGGAAGGUUGUCCGGGUGUUGGACGUCCCGGUCGCUGCAUUGGAGAAGGCGCUUAGGCAAAUCCGGGCGCAGGAUUCAAGGGUGUGGCGCGAGCGACUUCGGUCGCGAAGCAAUUGGAAGUGGUUCCAAGAAAAGCCUCUAAGCUUCAGUCUAACGAUGACCGUACCGCAAACCGACACAGGUGGGCGAGAUGAGUAUUCUAAGGCGCUUGAGAGAACUCGGGAGAAGGAACUCGGCAAAUUGGUACCGUAACUUCGGGAUAAGGUACGCCCUUGUAGCUUGACCAGCCUGCGCUGGAAGGGUGAAGGGGUUGCAAUAAACUGGUGGCUGCGACUGUUUAAUAAAAACACAGCACUCUGCAAACACGAAAGUGGACGUAUAGGGUGUGACGCCUGCCCGGUGCCGGAAGAUUAAAUGAUGGGGUGCAAGCUCUUGAUUGAAGUCCCGGUAAACGGCGGCCGUAACUAUAACGGUCCUAAGGUAGCGAAAUUCCUUGUCGGGUAAGUUCCGACCUGCACGAAUGGCGUAACGAUGGCCACACUGUCUCCUCCCGAGACUCAGCGAAGUUGAAGUGUUUGUGAUGAUGCAAUCUACCCGCGGCUAGACGGAAAGACCCCAUGAACCUUUACUGUAGCUUUGCAUUGGACUUUGAACCGAUCUGUGUAGGAUAGGUGGGAGGCUAUGAAACCGGAACGCUAGUUUCGGUGGAGCCGUCCUUGAAAUACCACCCUGGUUUGUUUGAGGUUCUAACCUUGGUCCGUGAUCCGGAUCGGGGACAGUGCAUGGUAGGCAGUUUGACUGGGGCGGUCUCCUCCCAAAGGGUAACGGAGGAGUACGAAGGUACGCUAGGUACGGUCGGAAAUCGUGCUGAUAGUGCAAUGGCAUAAGCGUGCUUAACUGCGAGACCGACAAGUCGAGCAGGUGCGAAAGCAGGUCAUAGUGAUCCGGUGGUUCUGUAUGGAAGGGCCAUCGCUCAACGGAUAAAAGGUACUCUGGGGAUAACAGGCUGAUACCGCCCAAGAGUUCAUAUCGACGGCGGUGUUUGGCACCUCGAUGUCGGCUCAUCUCAUCCUGGGGCUGUAGCCGGUCCCAAGGGUAUGGCUGUUCGCCAUUUAAAGAGGUACGUGAGCUGGGUUUAAAACGUCGUGAGACAGUUUGGUCCCUAUCUGCCGUGGGCGUUGGAUAUUUGAAGGGGGCUGCUCCUAGUACGAGAGGACCGGAGUGGACGAACCUCUGGUGUACCGGUUGUGACGCCAGUCGCAUCGCCGGGUAGCUAUGUUCGGAAGAGAUAACCGCUGAAAGCAUCUAAGCGGGAAACUCGCCUUAAGAUGAGAUAUCCCUGGAGGCUUGACCUCCUUGAAGGGUCGUUCGAGACCAGUUGAUAGGUCGGGUGUGUAAGCGCAGUAAUGCGUUCAGCUAACCGAUACUAAUUGCCCGUAAGGCUUGAUCCU
rnacentral:rRNA from 1 species